rnacentral:lncRNA from 1 species
UAUGGUCCAGUAAUGCUAGCUUUCUAGGGCUUAACUGGGCGUGUUGUUCUUCUAUUUACAUGUAAAUUAUGGACAAUAGAUUAAGAUCAAGUUGAUGUGAAACAUAACUAGUCUUUGCAAUAAUACGAUAUCAAGAGCUUAUCGAUAUAACGAGGAUGCACACAACCAACAAUCACAAAAAACAAGAAAAACAAAAUGGCAUGACCUCAACAUGUAUGCCGAAGCAAUCAACAAGACACAAUAGCAAAACCCCAACAUCAAUCACCCUUGUUGGCGGAAGGUUCUCCAAAGCCACGCUUCCAGGAAGAGAAAGGCAUCUGAACAUCGGCGUCGCGACAUCCUACCUUCAACAUGGAUUUUGCCAAUGUAAAGCAAGUUUGAUCCGUUUUCAAGGCAACGGCUUCAACAUGAAAACAAAAUAACUAAUCAAAAUUAGGUCUAGAGUUCACCAAACUCUAGAACCGAUACUCAAGGAGCAACAACAAAACGAAGUCACCAUAUAUUGCGGCCCCACUCGCCGAGAUAAUAUUGUCGCAACUCCCCGAUUGACAACGCAAAACGUUUGUACAGCCUUAAGCAUCUUCCCAGUCGAAACGCCUCUGAAGAGCGUUCUUAAAUUCUCUCUCUUAUGGGUCUAGUUGGUUCUCAUGAUUCCCAAAGCAUGUUCGGAAUAGCGUGAGAUGUUGAAACCUACAAGAAUUGAAAGCACAAGAAUUCAUAAUAGAAACCGUUUGGUUGCAUUGUAGAAAAAUGCAGGAGUUUUGAUACAUCGUCAGGUGCAUGGUAUAAUUAUCAUAGAAAAAUUCAUGAGGUUCACCUUAAUAAAUAUUUUCUCUAAAAUUGCAUGCAAAAUGAUCACAGGAGUAUUUCCUACGGUUUACAAUCCUACAAAACCAAACAAGCAUUCCUUAAAGAAUUCCAUGGAAUCUCAUCAAACCAAACAUGUUCCAUACAACCCUAAACCCCGAUACAUCUUGCCUCACCAUAUAAAGUCAUCAACUUAAGAUUUGAACAUGCCAAAGCGGUACUCCCUCCUUUCUAUGAUGUAAAACAUUUUUUGGCACCACAUCAAUGCCAAAAAACGUCUUACAUUAUAGGGCAGAUGGGGUGUUAUUCAAAAUGAAUUUUGUCUAGAUAGUACUCUGGAGGCAAUUCCUGUAGCUCGUACGCUCCAAAAGAAAUUCUGCAAACACAUUAUUGUAACAAGAUGGCUAAAGUGAAGCACACCACAUGACUGACCAGCAGUUUGAUUGAUUGCUAGUAGCGCCGGCAAAACAAAGAAACAGUGUUUAAACUACACAACUGCUGGUGAGGAUUGGAGUGGGGCAGCACCUCUUUUCUUUCCGGGGAAUAAAAAGCCGGCGGCCUGAGACAGCUGAUAGGUAACAAACCAUCACCGUCGGCAUCGUUAUCCGAUAACCAUGACGGUAUCCCUCACGCGUGUGGUCGGGUUGGGUUGGGUUGGGUUGCAAGCACAUGUUUACUCCGUUUGUAUAUUUUGGAUUAAUUUCCAGGUCGAAAAUCGCCUUCUUGGUUAAUGCACCCUGCACAAUCCCCUCUUUUUUAAGACCACUCUGUCCAAUACUCUACUAGUACCUCAUAUACUAGUGCUACUCAAAUAAUACUACUAGUGCAGUGGAGAGAGAAGCGAGCUACCAGAUCAGAGCGCCUCCAGCUUGCUUGCGGGCGUCGCCUACCUCCACUCCGCUUUUUCUCCGAGGGAGAAAAUGCUG